rnacentral:misc_RNA from 1 species
GAUUCCAAUAACUCGUGCCAGUAAAGUUGCUGGUGAAUCAUUUUGGAAAAGUACCUAAAACAGAAGUUUUAUUUUAGCCAAUUUGCACAGUGGUCACAAAAAGGUAACCGAACUGCAGAAUGUUGUGUAUCAUAUGCUUCUAAGUGAUAUGAGAAAUUAUUCAGGCAAAAGGAAAAUUUCUAAAUUAUCAAGUCCUCAGAGAUAGUUAUUCAAAGUAAUGGUUAAUAAAGGAUCUCAAAGAAUAGGUCAUCACAUCAAAGAAAUUCCAAAUAAAAUUAGCAAAAUCCAUUAGCCCCAAAUGUGAAGAUAAUUCCACAGAGAAAACACAAAUUUAGAGAAGGUAUCAUCAUAUCAAUGUAGAAUUCCAUAGAGAAAACAGAAAUUUAGAGAUGGUAUCAUCAUUUCAAUGUAGAAUUCCAUAGAGAAAACAGAAAUUUAGAGAUGGUAUCAUCAUU